UGGAGUAUGUGGUUUAAUUCGAUGCAACGCGAAGAACCUUACCUGGUCUUGACAUCCCGGAGACCCUUAGGAAACUAGGGGGUGCUUCCAUCUGGAAGAAUCUGGAGACAGGUGCUGCAUGGCUGUCGUCAGCUCGUGUCGUGAGAUGUUGGGUUAAGUCCCGCAACGAGCGCAACCCUUGCCUUUAGUUGCCAGCAGUUCGGCUGGGCACUCUAAAGGGACUGCCGGUGUUAAACCGGAGGAAGGUGGGGAUGACGUCAAGUCCUCAUGGCCUUUAUGACCAGGGCUACACACGUACUACAAUGGCCGAUACAAAGGGCAGCGACACUGCGAGGUGAAGCCAAUCCCGUAAAAUCGGUCUCAGUCCGGAUUGGAGUCUGCAACUCGACUCCAUGAAGUUGGAAUCGCUAGUAAUCGCGCAUCAGCAUGGCGCGGUGAAUACGUUCCCGGGCCUU
rnacentral:rRNA from 1 species